GAUGAAGAACGCAGCGAAAUGCGAUAACUAAUGUGAAUUGCAGAAUUCCGUGAAUCAUCGAGUCUUUGAACGCACAUUGCGCCCCCUGGCAUCCCGGGGGGCAUGCCUGUUCGAGCGUCAUUUCACCACUCAAGCCUCGCUUGGUAUUGGGCAACGCGGUCCGCCGCGUGCCUCAAAUCGACCGGCUGGGUCUUCUGUCCCCUAAGCGUUGUGGAAACUAUUCGCUAAAGGGUGUUCGGGAGGCUACGCCGUAAAACAACCCCAUUUCUAAGGUUGACCUCGGAUCAGGUAGGGAUACCCGCUGAACUUAAGCAUAUCAAUAAGCGGAGGA
rnacentral:misc_RNA from 1 species